rnacentral:rRNA from 1 species
UACAGAGGGUGCAAGCGUUGUUCGGAAUUACUGGGCGUAAAGGGCUCGUAGGUGGCCAACUAAGUCAGACGUGAAAUCCCUCAGCUUAACUGGGGAACUGCGUCUGAUACUGGAUGGCUUGAGUUUGGGAGAGGGAUGCGGAAUUCCAGGUGUAGCGGUGAAAUGCGUAGAUAUCUGGAGGAACACCGGUGGCGAAGGCGGCAUCCUGGACCAACACUGACACUGAUGAGCGAAAGCCAGGGGAGCAAACGGG